GUUAACCUCAGGGGCUACACAAAAUGCAAUCAGGGUUGCCCAGUGGAUGCUUCAAACUCCUGGUGCAACUAGAUUUAUGGGUUGCAUUGGAAAGGACAAGUUUGGUGAAGAAAUGAAGAGAGCCUCAACAGCUGCUGGUGUUAAUGCUCACUAUCGUGAGGAUGAGAUUGCUGCAAC